AACGCGAAGAACCUUACCCAGGCUCGAAAUGUAAUGGACGAUAUCAGAGAUGAUAUUUUCCGCAAGGACCGUUAUAUAGGUGCUGCAUGGCUGUCGUCAGCUCGUGCCGUGAGGUGUUUGGUUAAGUCCAGCAACGAGCGCAACCCUUAUCAUUAGUUGCCAACACGUAAGGUGGGGACUCUAGUGAGACUGCCUGGGUUAACCAGGAGGAAGGUGAGGAUGACGUCAAGUCCGCAUGGCCUUUAUGUCUGGGGCUACACACGUGCUACAAUGGUCGGUACAGAAGGCAGCAAUACCGCAAGGUGGAGCAAAUCCGCUAAAGCCGAUCUCAGUUCAGAUUGUAGUCUGCAACUCGACUACAUGAAGCUGGAAUUGCUAGUAAUGACGUGUCAGCAACAACGUCGUGAAUACGUUCCCGGGCCUUGUA
rnacentral:rRNA from 1 species